rnacentral:rRNA from 1 species
GACGAACGCUGGCGGCGUGCUUAACACAUGCAAGUCGAACGGAAAGGCCCUGCUUUUGUGGGGUGCUCGAGUGGCGAACGGGUGAGUAACACGUGAGUAACCUGCCCUUGACUUUGGGAUAACUUCAGGAAACUGGGGCUAAUACCGGAUAGGAGCUCCUGCUGCAUGGUGGGGGUUGGAAAGUUUCGGCGGUUGGGGAUGGACUCGCGGCUUAUCAGCUUGUUGGGGGGGUAGUGGCUUACCAAGGCUUUGACGGGUAGCCGGCCUGAGAGGGUGACCGGCCACAUUGGGACUGAGAUACGGCGCAGUCUCCUACGGGAGGCAGCAGUGGGGAGUAUUGCACAGUGGGGGGAAGCCUGAUGCAGCAACGCCGCGUGCGGGAUGACGGCCUUCGGGUUGUAAACCGCUUUCGCCUGUGCCGAAGCGUGAGUGACGGUAAUGGGUAAAGAAGCAACGGCUAACUACGUG